GAUGAAGAACGCAGCGAAAUGCGAUAAGUAAUGUGAAUUGCAGAAUUCAGUGAAUCAUCGAAUCUUUGAACGCACAUUGCGCCCGCCAGUAUUCUGGCGGGCAUGCCUGUUCGAGCGUCAUUUCAACCAUCAAGCCCCGGGCUUGUGUUGGGGACCUGCGGCUGCCGCAGGCCCUGAAAAGCAGUGGCGGGCUCGCUGUCACACCGAGCGUAGUAGCAUACAUCUCGCUCUGGGCGUGCUGCGGGUUCCGGCCGUUAAACCCCCUUUAACCCAAGGUUGACCUCGGAUCAGGUAGGAAGACCCGCUGAACUUAAGCAUAUCAAUAAGCGGAGGA
rnacentral:misc_RNA from 1 species